CUCUCUGAGGAAUUUUUCCAGAACCUUGUUGAAUCUAUACCACCAAGGAUUAAGGCAGUUCUGAAGGAAAAAGUGGGUCCAACUUGGCUCUAGCAAGGUUGACCUAAUACAACAGCAGGUGUGUGUCGUCUGCUGCAGUAUCUGCCACUGACAGCCCGAAACUGAAGAAUUUGGAGCAGUUCUUGUGUUGGACUGCGUCACCAAGCUUUAAGACUGAUUUAAAAAAAAUCUACUUGGACGUAGCCUGAACUCAAGAGGCCAGAAAUGACUUUAAUAAAUCAUGAACAGGGUGUAGUCUAGAUCUUUUGUGGUUUGACAUUUUUGCCCUUGUUUUAGUCUGUUUUAUGUUCUUCUUGACCUGCAGAAGCCGUGCACUAGCUGAAGCGCAGGGAAGCCAGGACAAAUUUCAUGAUUUCUGUUCUGUUACAAGAUGCUCCUGAUCAUUAGCCUUCAAAGGGUCCAUGUUUUUGGCUGGGGACAUGGAGCUCUCCUCCCUUUGUCUUGGGUCACACAGAAACAGCUUUGGCUCACAGGUGCUGAAGUGGCACUGUAGUGCCGGAGAAUUUCCAGUCUUCUCUCUGGAAGCUGCUAAACCUUCAGCUUCAAGCGUGUCCAGAAUGGACAAGAUGGUGAAAACAAAGGACAUCAAAGCAGUGCACUCAGAGAAAUGUAUCCAGCCUCCAGAGUCCCGACAGCAGGGAGGGAGUGUCUGGCUUUUGUGGGGAGCUGGGGAGGCUGCAUGGUAACCAGCGCUGUCUUCUGAUUCCGUUUUGUGAGAAAAGAACAGUCAGGAGUAAGGUUCUCUGUGGGCUUCAGGAGCACAGACAGGCCCGCCAGACUCUCAGGUCUAGUUUGGUGAAGAUCUGGGACCCCUUAACGAGAUCAAAAGCGGACUGUAACAGAGGGAGGGGGU